rnacentral:rRNA from 1 species
UAGUCCACACAGUAAACGAUGAAUACUCGCUGUUUGCGAUAUACAGUAAGCGGCCAAGCGAAAGCGUUAAGUAUUCCACCUGGGGAGUACGCCGGCAACGGUGAAACUCAAAGGAAUUGACGGGGGCCCGCACAAGCGGAGGAACAUGUGGUUUAAUUCGAUGAUACGCGAGGAACCUUACCCGGGCUUGAAUUGCAACUGAAUGAUGUGGAGACAUGUCAGCCGCAAGGCAGUUGUGA